AUGGAGCACUAUCAUAUUGCCAACAAGAUGUUUAAUAGUGAGGAUGAAGGUUAUACAUUCUAUAACAAAUAUGGUCUUGAGAAAGGUUUUAGUGUCCGGAGAAGCUAUGUCGAGUGGGAUGGAUCCAACUGCCAUAUAAUUUUAAGGAAAUUUGUGUGUAGUCGUGAAGGGGUUCGUGAAGAGAAGCACAUGAAGAGGAAGAUGGAAGAUAGAAAGAGGAGGCCACGGAGUAUAACUUGUGUAGGGUGUAAAGCUAAAUUGGUGAUUGCAAGACAGGAGGAAACAAGUCAGUGGUUUGUCAAGGAUUUCAUCGAUGAACACAACCAUCCUCUAGCCCCACGGGAUCUGUCGUGUCUUUUGCAUUCACACAGAAGAAUUAGCGAUGAGCAGAAAGCGGACAUUGCAGACAUGGAAAAAUCUGGGAUCAGAAAACACCAUAUUAUGGAUAUUAUGUGCAUGCAAUACGGUGGAUAUGAUGAGGUUGGAUGCAUUAUGAGGGACAUUUACAAUUUCUGCCAUGCUAACAAGCAGGAAACAAUUUCUUCCGGGGAUGCUCAAACGGUGAUCAAUCACAUGGUGGCGAGGCAAGAGCAAGAUUCAGAUUUUUUCUUCAGGUACUUGGUUGAUGAAGCUGGCCAUCUGAAGGGACUGUUCUGGUGUGAUAGUCAAUCCCGACUUGACUACGAGGCUUUCAGAGACGUUAUUGUUUUUGAUAUCACAUACAGAACCAAUAAGUAUAAUCUGCCACUUGUGCCGUUUGUCGGGUUGAAUCACCACCGCAACACCGUUAUUUUUGCAUGUGGUAUCAUUUCACAUGAAACAAGCCAGGCAUACGAGUGGAUGUUACAGACCUUUUCUGAUGCUAUGGGACAGAAGCAUCCUAUAUCUGUGAUCACGGAUGGGGACCUUGCAAUGCAGAGAGCAAUCAGGGUGGUGUGGCCGGACUCAAACCAUAGGCUCUGUAUAUGGCACAUUCAGCAGAACAUUGUACGCCAUCUGCAUGAUGACGCGGUAAAGGAGGAGUUCCGAUCUUUCAUAUAUGAUACAUCUUCCAUUGAAGAGCAUGAGAGAAAAUGGUUACACUUCUUACAACGGAAUAAAGUAACAAGUGAGGACUCCUGGCUGCAUCAGAUGUAGAAGAUGAGAAAACUGUGGUGUGCUCCAUAUCUUGAGGGUCGUUGUUUCCUAGGAUUGAGCAGCAAUCAGCAGAGUGAGAGUUUAAACUCGGUGCUACAUACGCAUCUUGAGGCUAAGAUGGCGUUGUUUCAAAUGCUAGAGCACUAUGAGCGUUGCCUUGCGUCGCGACGCUUGAACGAGGCUCUCCAAGACGUCGAGGCCUUACAGUACGUUCCGUUCACAGAGGAAAAUGCUUCAGUUCUUGAGAAACAUGCCGCGAAAGUUUUCACUCCUGCUGUGUUUAAGUUGGUCUUAUGGAGCAUAGAUGCUGUCAUAAAAUGUGAGAUCAGAGAGGUACUUGAUGCAGCAGAGGUUACCACAUACGUUGUGUCUAAGAAGGAAAGAAUGGAUAAAAAGAUCGAAGUGCGCACGGAGACGAAGGAAGGUAUGCUUCGCAGUAUCAGUUGUUCUUGCCGCAAAUUGGAAUGCGCAGGCACACCAUGUUCCCACAUAUUUUACAUAUUGGGAAUUUUACAAGAAGAAACACUGCCCAGGUGUUGUGUUACCACUAGGUGGACAAUGAGUGCAAAAUGUGCAUUCGCACCGACCAGAAAGAGCGAGAUGUAUGCAUACUCUGCAGCCCUACAAAGGUACCGUAAGCUAAGGAAUUUUAUUCACGCAGCAUGUUUCAAGGCAUGACACUCUGAUGAGGUGUUUCAGCAUCUAAAAAGGGUUUUGGAAGGACAAGAUGUUUGCAAGGGAUCAACAAGUGAACAAGCUGAUAGCAAGGGAUCAACUAAUGCUCAGGGUAACAACAUUAGGUUUGGCCCGUUGAUGCCACAAUCGGCUAACCUUGAUGGUGAAGGUUUCGAAAAGGUUCUGGAUCCCGUGCAUGUGCUAGGCCGAGGUGCUCUGAAGAAAAGGCUACAGGCAAAGAUGAAGAAAACCAGAACAAAGGGUAGAUGUAGCUAUUGUCAUGAGGCAGAUGGUCACAAUCGACGUACAUGCGCCAAAUUGAUAGAGGUACCUAAUAUGCCAUAA
rnacentral:rRNA from 1 species